GGCCCCACAUCCAGGAAGGCAGCAGGCGCGAAAAUUACCCACUUCCGGCGCGGAGAGGUAGUGACUAGUCAUAACAAAUAUAGACCCUAGUGGUUUGUAUUUGGACUGGUGAGAUGUUAUAAAUAUCUCAGUAAUCUAGAUCAGGACAAGUCUGGUGCCAGCAGCCGCGGUAAUACCAGCCUGAUCAAACGUAUGCUUUAGUUGCUGCGUUUAAAAAGCUCAUAGUUGGAUCUUCGAGAGCGUGAUCAUCAAAGGGCGUAGUUCGGUUACGGUCGUUCUAUUCCUGGUCACGGACUUUCAAUAUACUUGGAAGACAGUUUAUUCUUAACUGAAUAGACUGAUCGAAAACAAGUGAUAAACCUUGAAAAAAUUAGAGUGCUCAAAGCAAGCUUUGGCCUUGAAUUUUAAAGCAUGGAAUUGAGGAAGAGGACCAUUAUGGUCGUGAACCAUUUUGGUAAUGAUUAAAAGGAACAGACGGGGGCAUACGUAUUGCUCGGGGAGGGGUGAAAUCCGUAGAUCCCAGCAAGACGACCUACUGCGAAAGCAUUUGCCAAGAAUGUUUUCAUUAAUCAAGAACGAAAGUUAGAGUAUUAAAGAGGACUAGAUACCCUCGUAAUUCUAACCUUAAACGAUACCAUCUUAAUCUUAGCCAAUGUAAUUUAUUACUUGGUUAGGAUUAAACCGGGAAACCAAAGCCAUUUGGUUCCGGGGGGAGUAUGGGUUGCAAAAUCGAAACUUAAAGGAAUUGACGGAGGGGCACCACCAGGAGUGGAGCCUGCGGCUUAAUUUGACUCAACACGGGGAAACCUACCAGGUCCAGACAUCUUAAGGAUUGACAGAUAGAAUCUCUUUCAUG
rnacentral:rRNA from 1 species